UUAGUGGGGAACAUGUGGGACCACACCAUGUGAAGUAAAGAGAAGAAUGAGAAUAAAUCCUAUUGCAUGUAAUGAGAUUGGUGCAUUAGGUGGCCAAAUGAGGAAAGAAAAUGUGGGAUGCAUGUGACUUGAAUGGUUUAAUGAAUGACCAAAUAAAAUAUAAAGUAAAGGUUAUGCAUGAAAUAUGAUUGGAGGAAUAAGGUGGUGCAUAAAAUAAAGAAUGAAGAAAGAAAUAAUGAGGGAGUGUAGGUGGUGAAUGGAAAAGAUAAACAAGGAUAGAUAUUAGGCCAACGAACAAGGGAGAAAAUUGGUGUAAGAAAAUUGAGUGGGUGCUAAAUUGGUUUAAUGAGAAGAGAGGAAUAAAAUAAAGAAGAGAAAGGUAGGGAAAGGCUUGGAGAACAUUGGCAAAACCGCACCUUUGAAAGCAAAAAGAAUAAAGAAAGGAGAAAGAAAGAAAAAGAAAGGGGAGAGAAAAAAAGAAGAAAAACUAGAAAGAGGUUUGAUUUUGGAAAAGAUUAGAGAAAAUCGAAAGGUCAUCUCUCACAUGCCAUUGUUGAAGCUUGAAGGAGAAAUUGGUGGUUCGGCAUAGUGAUUCCAAGGUAAAGAAGGUAAAAGAUGUCAUUUUGUUUGAAUGCAUGCCUUGUGAAUAGAUUGUAAUGUGAGAUUAUACUUGUGGUAGCAAGAAUCUUCAAGGAUUCAAAGAACUGGGUGCAUGCAUGUGGGUUGAUCUUAGAAGUAUGGUGAUUUUGAGAAAGACAAAUGAUGGGUAAGUGUUUUUAACCUUGAGAUCAUAAAUGGAAAGGAAAUAUAAGAUGUGUAUUGAUUAUUUGUGCUUGUGGUAGCAACGGUGACCGAGGAUGUGAGGAGAUUGUGAGCUAUAUGUGAAAUUCAAGAUAAAAAUCGAAAGGAAGUGCAUAAGUGAGGAGGGUUGCCGUGGUGGUGUACCGAAAGAGGUAACGGGUGACUAGAAAGUAGAAUUAGCGAGAGGCACACCCGAAUCAAUGGCAAAGUAACAUCCCACUAUUAUGAGGAGAUUCGAGAGUAAGCCAAAUGUCACAUUGGGAUAGUGUGACCCUUGUGCACAAGUGAGCUCUAGCUAGAGAACCUUUGGGUUGCCAAAAGGCUGUUAGAUGUGGCUAGGCCACGGUCCGUGAUAUAUGUACGUGGCAAGGCCAUGGGAUGAUAUACGUGGCUAGGCCACGAGUUGAUAUAUGUGGUUGAGACCACAUGAUUUCUCCGAUGUCAGCCAACAUUAUAGAGACUGCCAUGGCUGUGGGAAUCCGGUGGAGAGGGGCUUCUCGGAUGUUAUUACGUGGAAGCAGGUCGACGAGUUGGUUAUUACGAUUACCUACUCGAGAGAGAUAUCUUUUUGGGUUUUCAAACAUGUACACUUUCGCAUGGUGAGAAUUAUAAGUUUUUUCGCAGCUCCUUUAUUUAUACGAUGAUUUUGUAUUUAAUUCCUCGAGGAUGAGAUGAUUUAUGAGCUUGUGUAUAAGCUUUGAUAAUGCUUGGUUUUACGGAAGCAUGCGUGCUUAUGCUAGUUUGAUUUGUGUAAAGUAUGUUAAAUGAUUUCGAUGGUAGAAAUCUUUCACUUGCACUGGCUUUGAUAAUUAAUUGAAAUGAU